ACAAUGGAGAGUUUGAUCCUGGCUCAGGAUGAACGCUAGCGGCAGGCUUAAUACAUGCAAGUCGAGGGGUAGCAAGAUUGUAGCAAUACAAUUGUUGACGACCGGCAAACGGGUGCGGAACACGUACACAACCUUCCUACAAGUGGGGAAUAGCCCAGAGAAAUUUGGAUUAAUACCCCGUAACAUAGCGAUGUGGCAUCACAUUGCUAUUAUAGCUUCGGCGCUUGUUGAUGGGUGUGCGGCUGAUUAGAUAGUUGGCGGGGUAACGGCCCACCAAGUCUACGAUCAGUAGCUGAUGUGAGAGCAUGAUCAGCCACACGGGCACUGAGACACGGGCCCGACUCCUACGGGAGGCAGCAGUAAGGAAUAUUGGACAAUGGACGCAAGUCUGAUCCAGCCAUGCCGCGUGAAGGAUUAAGGUCCUCUGGAUUGUAAACUUCUUUUAUAAGGGACGAAAAAAGGUCUUUCUAGAUCGUCUGACGGUACCUUAUGAAUAAGCACCGGCUAACUCCGUGCCAGCAGCCGCGGUAAUACGGAGGGUGCAAGCGUUAUCCGGAUUCACUGGGUUUAAAGGGUGCGUAGGCGGGCAGGUAAGUCAGUGGUGAAAUCCUAGAGCUCAACUCUAGAACUGCCAUUGAUACUAUCUGUCUUGAAUAUUGUGGAGGUAAGCGGAAUAUGUCAUGUAGCGGUGAAAUGCUUAGAUAUGACAUAGAACACCUAUUGCGAAGGCAGCUUACUACGCAUAUAUUGACGCUGAGGCACGAAAGCGUGGGGAUCAAACAGGAUUAGAUACCCUGGUAGUCCACGCCCUAAACGAUGGAUACUCGACAUACGCGAUACACUGUGUGUGUCUGAGCGAAAGCAUUAAGUAUCCCACCUG
rnacentral:rRNA from 1 species